GGCCCGCACAAGCGGUGGAGCAUGUGGUUUAAUUCGAUGCAACGCGAAGAACCUUACCUACUCUUGACAUCCAGAGGACUUAGCAGAGAUGCUUUGGUGCCUUCGGGAACUCUGAGACAGGUGCUGCAUGGCUGUCGUCAGCUCGUGUUGUGAAAUGUUGGGUUAAGUCCCGCAACGAGCGCAACCCUUAUCCUUUGUUGCCAGCGAUUCGGUCGGGAACUCAAAGGAGACUGCCGGUGAUAAACCGGAGGAAGGUGGGGAUGACGUCAAGUCAUCAUGGCCCUUACGAGUAGGGCUACACACGUGCUACAAUGGCGUAUACAAAGAGAAGCGACCUCGCGAGAGCAAGCGGAACUCAUAAAGUACGUCGUAGUCCGGAUUGGAGUCUGCAACUCGACUCCAUGAAGUCGGAAUCGCUAGUAAUCGUAGAUUAGAAUGCUACGGUGAAUACGUUCCCGGGCCUUGUACACACCGCCCGUCACACCAUGGGAGUGGGUUGCAAAAGAAGUAGGUAGCUUAACCUUCGGGAGGGCGCUUACCACUUUGUGAUUCAUGACUGGGGUGAAGUCGUAA
rnacentral:rRNA from 1 species